rnacentral:rRNA from 1 species
GACGAAGGAUGCAAGCGUUAUCCGGAUUCAUUGGGUUUAAAGGGAGCGUAGGCGGACUUAUAAGUCCGUGGUGAAAUCUCCGAGCUUAACUCGGAAACUGCCAUUGAUACUGUAAGUCUAGAGUACAGUUGCCGUUGGCGGAAUAUGACAUGUAGUGGUGAAAUACUUAGAUAUGUCAUAGAACACCGAUUGCGAAGGCAGCUAACGAAGCUGUAACUGACGCUGAGGCUCGAAAGUGCGGGGAUCAAACAGG